GGAUUAGAUACCCUGGUAGUCCACGCCCUAAACGAUGUCAACUAGCUGUUGGGGCCGUUAGGCCUUAGUAGCGCAGCUAACGCGUGAAGUUGACCGCCUGGGGAGUACGGUCGCAAGAUUAAAACUCAAAGGAAUUGACGGGGACCCGCACAAGCGGUGGAUGAUGUGGAUUAAUUCGAUGCAACGCGAAAAACCUUACCUACCCUUGACAUGUCUGGAAAGCCGAAGAGAUUUGGCCAUGCUCGCAAGAGAACCGGAACACAGGUGCUGCAUGGCUGUCGUCAGCUCGUGUUG
rnacentral:rRNA from 1 species